rnacentral:rRNA from 1 species
CCUACGGGAGGCAGCAGUAGGGAAUAUUGGGCAAUGGGCGAGAGCCUGACCCAGCCAUGCCGCGUGGAGGAAGACGGCCCUCUGGGUUGUAAACUCCUUUUGUCAGCGAAGAACGGCCCCCUUGCGAGGGGGUGUGACGGUAGUUGAUGAAUAAGCACCGGCUAACUCCGUGCCAGCAGCCGCGGUAAUACGGAGGGUGCAAGCGUUGUCCGGAUUUAUUGGGUUUAAAGGGUGCGUAGGUGGGCUGUUAAGUCUGGUUUGAAAGUUGGUCGCUU